rnacentral:rRNA from 1 species
UGGAUCCAGACUUUGAUUAUGGCUCAGGACGAACGCUGGCGGCGUGCCUAACACAUGCAAGUCGAGCGGAGACAGGGAGUAGCUUGCUACGAGCUGUUUUAGCGGCGGACGGGUGAGUAACGCGUGAGCAACCUUUCCCAGACAGGGGAAUAACACACCGAAAGGUGUACUAAUACCGCAUAAGACCACGGAAUCACAUGGUUCUGGGGUAAAAGAUUUAUCGGUUUGGGGUGGGCUCGCGUCCGAUUAGGUAGUUGGUGAGGUAACGGCCCACCAAGCCGACGAUCGGUAGCCGACCUGAGAGGGUGAUCGGCCACAUUGGGACUGAGACACGGCCCAAACUCCUACGGGAGGCAGCAGUGGGGAAUAUUGGGCAAUGGAGGAAACUCUGACCCAGCAACGCCGCGUGGAGGAAGAAGGUUUUCGGAUCGUAAACUCCUGUCCUUGGAGACGAGUAGAAGACGGUAUCCAAGGAGGAAGCCCCGGCUAACUACGUGCCAGCAGCCGCGGUAAUACGUAGGGGGCAAGCGUUGUCCGGAAUAAUUGGGCGUAAAGGGCGCGUAGGCGGCUCGGUAAGUCUGGAGUGAAAGUCCUGCUUUUAAGGUGGGAAUUGCUUUGGAUACUGUCGGGCUUGAGUGCAGGAGAGGUUAGUGGAAUUCCCAGUGUAGCGGUGAAAUGCGUAGAGAUUGGGAGGAACACCAGUGGCGAAGGCGACUAACUGGACUGUAACUGACGCUGAGGCGCGAAAGUGUGGGGAGCAAACAGGAUUAGAUACCCUGGUAGUCCACACUGUAAACGAUGAAUGCUAGGUGUAGGGGGUAUCGACCCCUUCUGUGCCGCAGUCAACACAAUAAGCAUUCCGCCUGGGGAGUACGGCCGCAAGGUUGCAACUCAAAUGAAUUGACGGA